rnacentral:rRNA from 1 species
UACAGAGGGUGCGAGCGUUGUCCGGAAUCACUGGGCGUAAAGGGCGCGUAGGUGGUGGCUUAAGCGUGCGGUGAAAGCUCGGGGCUCAACUCCGAGUCGGCCGUGCGAACUGGGCUCACUGGAGCAUAGUAGAGGCAGGUGGAAUUCCGGGUGUAGCGGUGGAAUGCGUAGAGAUCCGGAGGAACACCUAUUGCGAAGGCAGCUCGCUGGACGUACGUUCAC